rnacentral:rRNA from 1 species
UGGGGAAUUGUUCACAAUGGGCGCAAGCCUGAUGACGCAACGCCGCGUGGGGGAUGAAGGUCUUCGGAUUGUAAACCCCUGUCGAAUGGGACGAAAGACUCGCGAGUUAAUACUGCGCGAGAGUGACGGUACCGUUAAAGGAAGCCACGGCUAACUCUGUGCCAGCAGCCGCGGUAAUACAGAGGUGGCAAGCGUUGUUCGGAAUUACUGGGCGUAAAGGGCGCGUAGGCGGCCCACUAAGUCAGACGUGAAAUCCCCCGGCUUAACCUGGGAACUGCGUCUGAUACUGGAGGGCUUGAGUAUGGGAGAGGGAUGUAGAAUUCCAGGUGUAGCGGUGAAAUGCGUAGAUAUCUGGAGGAAUACCGGUGGCGAAGGCGGCAUCCUGGACCAUUACUGACGCUGAGGCGCGAAAGCUAGGGGGAGCAAACGGGAUUAGAUACCCCGGUAGUCCUAGCCCUAAACGAUGAAUACUUGGUGUGGCGGUAUCGAUCCCUGCCGUGCCGAAG